GGGCCUGUAGCUCAGUCGGUUAGAGCAGAGGACUCAUAAUCCUUUGGUCCUGGGUUCGAGUCCCAGCGGGCCCA
rnacentral:tRNA from 4 species